AAGAAAGUGAAGGGCAAUUACUUCAAUAAAAUCCAAGAACCAUAAACAGAACGGUUGCAUGAAACAUGCGUUUUGAGAUACGUGGUGCUCCAGCCUCACAUGCAGAGCAAGGCUCUCGAGCUAACUUCCAGAUCAUCAUCAACUUCAAGGACUCCACUCUUUGCUUGCAUGUUUGGGACCCACAGGUUUUGCAUGGACACCAUCCAGGUGGCCUGAAACGCAGUUUAAAGUAAUCGUGGUGCUGAUUUUCUCAGGACUCGGCGAGAAAAUAAUGUAUAAGCAAAACUGCUGGAAGUACCCCAUUCAAAGUAUCGUGUGUGUAAGGAUUUGAUGAUUUUCUCGAGAAAUGGUGACUCUAGAAACCUCUGAAAGAAAUCUCUCUCUCUCUCUCUCUCUCUCUCUCUCUCUCUCUUAUCAGUUUCAUUUCAUCAAACCCUAAUAGCCAGCAGGUGGGUUGUCUAUAAAAGAGAGCAAUCCCUUUCACAUUUUCUGUGCUCGAAGAGGCUCAAAAUUAAGCUCUCUCAUUCUCCUAUAGCUGCUAGCUAACUACCUACCCCAUUCAGACGCUGGUUUUUCCUCUCUUUCUCUCUUUCUCUAUACUCUUUCACACACAUAUACACUCACACACAGAAAAUGAGGAGGCC
rnacentral:lncRNA from 1 species